rnacentral:rRNA from 2 species
UAGCAUAUCAAUAAGCGGAGGAAAAGAAACCAACAGGGAUUGCCUUAGUAGCGGCGAGUGAACUGGCAAAAGCUCAAAUUUGAAAUCUGGCGUAUGCCUGAGUUGUAAUUUGAAGAGGAUGUCUUUUGCUUUAACUUGGGGUUUAAGUCUUCUGGAACGUAGCAUCAUGGAGGGUAAUAAUCCCGUAUGUGAUUUCAAGUUUUUUAAAGCAAUAUAAGACUCCUUCAAUGAGUCGAGUUGUUUGGGAAUGCAGCUCUAAAUGGGAGGUAAAUUUCUUCUAAAGCUAAAUAUAGGCUAGAGACCGAUAGUGAACAAGUAGAGUGAUCGAAAGAUGAAAAGUCCUUUGGAAAGAGAGUUAAAUAGUAUGUGAAAUUGUUGGAAGGGAAGCAUUUGCAAUCAGAUUUGUGUUGUUAAAAUUCACCUACACUUUAUGUGCUUAGAGCAUUUUUUUUCAACACUUGUCAACAUCAAUUUGAGUAGUGAUAUAAUCUUGGAUGAAAUGUAGCUCAUUGAGUGUUAUAGUUAUCCUUUGUUUAUCACUCACUUAAAUUGAGGCUUGCGGUUAUCAUGGAUGUUGACUUAAUGGUUGUAAGUGGCCCGUCUUGAAACACGGACCAAGGAGUCUAACGUUUACGCGAGUGUUUGGGUGUUAAACUCAAGCGCAUAAUGAAAGUGAAUGAAGGUGGGAGACUUUUAGGAGUUGCACCAUCGACCGAUCUUGAAGUUUUCUGAUGGAUUUGAGUAUGAGCGUAAUUGUUGGGACCCGAAAGAUGGUGAACUAUGCCUGCUUAGGCUGAAGUCAGGGGAAACCCUGAUGGAGGGUCGCAGCGGUUCUGACGUGCAAAUCGAUCGUCAAAAGUGGGUAUAGGGGCGAAAGACCAAUCGAACCAUCUAGUAGCUGGUUCACAC